AACGCACCUUGCACCCUUUGGUUACUCUGAAGGGUAUGCCUGUUUGAGAGUCAUUUUUAUUCUCAACUUUAAAGUUUGUUGAAGACUUUAAAUUUGGAUUGUGUGGGUUUGCUGGCAUUUGUGUUGGCUCCUAUCAAAUACAUUAGCAGAACUGUCAAGGGAAAUGGCUCUGGUUUGAUUAAAAAUAUCUAUGCCAUUGCUAGAGUUUUCCCCUCUGUUCAGCUUCUAACUUGAUUAUAUUUGAAACUUGACCUCAAAUCAGGUAGGACUACCCGCUGAACUUAA
rnacentral:misc_RNA from 1 species